UGAGUUCGCGGGAGAGUAAGUUAUUGCCAGGGUUUUUAUUUUAUACUUUAAACAUUGAUUUUAUUUUUUAUGUUUUUAGAUGUUCAUGUUUUUGAAUGUUUUAUUUAAAUAAUAUAAAAAAUAAAAUAUAUAUUGACAUGGAUUAAACAAAGAUAUAUAUUAUUCUAUGUUGCAUAAGCAAAUUGGCAAAAUAGAGAUGAAGAUAAAAAUAGUCUCAG
rnacentral:misc_RNA from 1 species